GCAAUCUACCUUAUACUAAGGGAUAGCCCAGAGAAAUUUGGAUUAAUACCUUAUAGAAUGUUGAAAUGGCAUCAUUUUAAUAUUAAAGAUUUAUUGGUAUAAGAUGAGCAUGCGUCCCAUUAGUUAGUUGGUAAGGUAACGGCUUACCAAGACGAUGAUGGGUAGGGGUCCUGAGAGGGAGAUC
rnacentral:rRNA from 1 species